rnacentral:rRNA from 1 species
ACAGUUGGAAACGACUGCUAAUACCGCAUAACGUAUCGAGGGGGCAUCCUCUUGAUACCAAAGGAGCAAUCCGCUGAAAGAUGGGCUCACGUCUGAUUAGUUAGUUGGCAGGGUAACGGCCUACCAAGACUGCGAUCAGUAGCCGGACUGAGAGGUUGAACGGCCACAUUGGGACUGAGAUACGGCCCAGACUCCUACGGGAGGCAGCAGUGGGGAAUAUUGGGCAAUGGGCGAAAGCCUGACCCAGCAACGCCGCGUGAAGGAAGAAGGUCUUCGGAUUGUAAACUUCUUUUAUGAGGGACGAAGGACGUGACGGUACCUCAUGAAUAAGCCACGGCUAACUACGUGCCAGCAGCCGCGGUAAUACGUAGGUGGCAAGCGUUAUCCGGAUUUACUGGGUGUAAAGGGCGCGUAGGCGGGAGAGCAAGUCAGGUGUGAAAUCCAUGGGCCUAACCCAUGAACUGCACUUGAAACUGUUUUUCUUGAGUGCUGGAGAGGUAGACGGAAUUCCUUGUGUAGCGGUGAAAUGCGUAGAUAUAAGGAAGAACACCAGUGGCGAAGGCGGUCUACUGGACAGUAA